UGCGGGGAGGGGCUGGUGCCCCACCGGGCCUCAUAAGCCUGGCAACCAGGGUUCGACUCCCUGCUCCGCAA
rnacentral:tRNA from 1 species